GAUGAACGCUGGCGGCGUGCUUAACACAUGCAAGUCGAACGGGGAACUCGGAGCUUGCUCUGUGGGAUCAGUGGCGAACGGGUGAGUAACACGUGAGCAACCUGCCCCUGACUCUGGGAUAAGCGCUGGAAACGGCGUCUAAUACUGGAUAUGUGUCGUGACCGCAUGGUCUGCGUUUGGUAAGAUUUUUCGGUUGGGGAUGGGCUGGCGGCCUAUCCGCUUGUUGGUGAGGUAAUGGCUCACCAAGGCGGCGACGGGUAGCCGGCCUGAUAGGGUGACCUGCCACGCUGGGACUGAGACACGGCCCAGACUCCUACGCGAGGCAGCAGUGGGGAAUAUUGCACAAUGGGCGCAAGCCUGAUGCAGCAACGCCGCGUGAGGGAUGACAGCCUUCGGGUUGUAAACCUCUUUUAGCAGGGAAGAAGCGAAAGUGACGGUACCUGCAGAAAAAGCGCCGGCUAACUACGUG
rnacentral:rRNA from 1 species